rnacentral:rRNA from 1 species
UACGGAAGGCAGCAGUGGGGAAUAUUGCACAAUGGGCGCAAGCCUGAUGCAGCCAUGCCGCGUGUAUGAAAAAGGCCUUCGGGUUGUAAAGUACUUUCAGUCGUGAGGAAGGUGUUAAGGUUAAUAACCUUAGCAAUUGACGUUAGCGACAGAAGAAGCACCGGCUAACUCCGUGCCAGCAGCCGCGGUAAUACGGAGGGUGCGAGCGUUAAUCGGAAUUACUGGGCGUAAAGGGCACGCAGGCGGUUAAUUAAGUUGGAUGUGAAAUCCCCGGGCUUAACCUGGGAAUGGCAUUCAAGACUGGUUAGCUAGAGUCUUGUAGAGGGGGUAGAAUUCCAUGUGUAGCGGUGAAAUGCGUAGAGAUGUGGAGGAAUACCGGCGGCGAAGGCGGCCCCUGGACAAAGACUGACGCUCAUGUGCGAAAGCGUGGGGAGCAAACAGGGAUUAGAUACCCGU